ACUCAAAUGAAUAGACGGGGGCUCACACAAGCGGUGGAGCAUGUGGCUCAAUUCGAAGCAACGCGAAGAACCUUAUCCUGGACUUGACAUGGCAGAAGUAGAAACCUGAAAGGGCGACGACCGGUAUCCAAUCCGGAACUGUCACAGGUGCUGCAUGGCUGUCGUCAGCUCGUGCUGUGAAGUGUCGGGUUAAGUCCCAUAACGAGCGAAACCCCUAUCGUUAGUUGCCAGCGCGUCAUGGCGGGCACUCUAACGAGACUGCCGGUGUUAAACCGGAGGAAGGCGGGGAUGACGUCAAGUCCUCAUGGCCUUUAUGUCCAGGGCUGCACACGUGCUACAAUGCCGAUGACAAACCGAAGCAAGACCGCAAGGUGGAGCAAAUCGGAGAAAAAUCGGCCCAGUUCAGAUUGAGGGCUGCAACUCGCCCUCAUGAAGUUGGAAUCGCUAGUAAUCGCGGAUCAGCUAUGCCGCGGUGAAUGUGUUCCUGAGCCUUGCACACACCGCCCGU
rnacentral:rRNA from 1 species